AGAGUUUGAUCCUGGCUCAGGACGAACGCUGGCGGCGUGCUUAACACAUGCAAGUCACGGGGGUCCCGCAAGGGAUAACCGGCGAACGGGUGCGUAACACGUGAACAACCUGCCCUCGUGUGGGGGAUAGCCGGGCUAACGCCCGGGUAAUACCGCAUACGUUCUCUCGGGGGAGUCCCUGGGAGAGGAAAGCUCCGGCGCACGGGGAGGGGUUCGCGGCCUAUCAGCUAGUUGGUGGGGUAAUGGCCCACCAAGGCGACGACGGGUAGCUGGUCUGAGAGGAUGGCCAGCCACAUUGGGACUGAGAGACGGCCCAGACUCCUACGGGAGGCAGCAGUGGGGAAUCUUGCGCAAUGGUCUAACGACUGACGCAGCGACGCCGCGUGUGGGAGGACGCCUUUCGGGGUGUAAACCACUGUUGCCCGGGACGAACAGCCCUUUUCGAGGGGUCUGACGGUACCGGGUGAGGAAGCACCGGCUAACUCCGUGCCAGCAGCCGCGGUAAUACGGAGGGUGCGAGCGUUGUCCGGAAUCAUUGGGCGUAAAGGGCGCGUAGGUGGCACAGCAAGCGUGCGGUGAAAGCUCGGGGCUCAACCCCGAGUCGGCCGUGCGAACUGCUGGGCUCGAGCACUGUAGAGGCAGGCGGAAUUCCGGGUGUAGCGGUGGAAUGUGUAGAGAUCCGGAAGAACACCGGUGGCGAA
rnacentral:rRNA from 1 species